CAGUCGCCGCGGUAAUACGAACCGUGCGAACGUUAUUCGGAAUCAUUGGGCUUAAAGCGCGUGUAGGCGGAUGGGAACGUCGGUCGCUGAAAUACCCCGGCUCAACCGGGGAACUGGCAUCGAAACGACCCGUCUCGAGGGGCAUAGGGGGAGCUGGAACUUCCCGUGGAGCGGUGAAAUGCGUUGAGAUCGGAAGGAACGCCCGUGGCGGAAGCGAGCUCCUGGAUGUCUUCUGACGCUGAGACGCGAAAGCUAGGGUAGCGAACGGGAUUAGAUACCCCGGUAGUCCCUGUCUCUUAUA
rnacentral:rRNA from 1 species